GGAACGGGGAAGCCAUUUGUCCACUUGUCUUUAUGUGGGUGAAGAACAUGCUUUUUCUUUGUGAAGUGCCAGCUGAAGUCACUUCAUUCCUUGAAAAAAUCAAGUUCAGCAUUUGGCAAGUGACCUUCCACAGGGUUAUUUCCAACAUACAUGUGCUGGAGGAAAAAAGUGAAAAAGAAAAUAACAGUGGUGAUGUCAAGACUUGUCAGAGAAAAGUGCAUUGUCAGGCUGCAUAACUUCUUAAUCUUGGAAUGAGAAAACAAGAGUGUAUGUGUGUUUGGGG